rnacentral:rRNA from 1 species
CGCCCCGCUUAAUUUUUGCAAGUCGACCGGUAUAGUGACUUCGGUUGCUAGAGAGCGGCGCACGGGUGAGUAACGCGUACAUGACCUACCUCUAAGAUCGGGAUAGCCCUGGGAAACUGGGAUUAAUACCGGAUGUGAUAAUAAGUAUAAGGAUUUAUUAUUAAAGUUGCGGCGCUUAGAGAUGGGUGUGCGUCUGAUUAGCUAGUUGGUAGGGUAAGGGCCUACCAAGGCGACGAUCAGUAGGGGGCGUGAGAGCGUGAUCCCCCACACGGGUACUGAGACACGGACCCGACUCCUACGGGAGGCAGCAGUAGGGAAUAUUGGUCAAUGGACGGAAGUCUGAACCAGCCAUUCCGCGUGCAGGAAGAAGGUCCUAUGGACUGUAAACUGCUUUUAGCAGAGAAGAAACGCCUUCAUUUAUGAGGGUCUGACGGUAUCUGCGGAAUAAGCACCGGCUAACUCCGUGCCAGCAGCCGCGGUAAUACGGGGGGGUGCAAGCGUUAUCCGGAAUCACUGGGUUUAAAGGGUGCGUAGGCGGGACAUUAAGUCAGUGGUGAAAGUCUGUUGCUUAC